rnacentral:rRNA from 1 species
AUGUGCUGUGAGCUCGAUGAGUAGGGCGGGACACGUGGUAUCCUGUCUGAAUAUGGGGGGGACCAUCCUCCAAGGCUAAAUACUCCUGACUGACCGAUAGUGAACCAGUACCGUGAGGGAAAGGCGAAAAGAACCCCGGCGAGGGGAGUGAAAAAGAACCUGAAACCGUGUACGUACAAGCAGUGGGAGCCCCACCACUAAGCCAGUGGUGAACUCCACAUACGCAUCCUUUGCUGAGGAUACGGUUAACGGAGCGAAAGCGACGUUCAACCGCAAAAGAAGCAGAGGGGGCUUAGUGGUGGGGUGACUGCGUACCUUUUGUAUAAUGGGUCAGCGACUUAUAUUCUGUAGCAAGGUUAACCGAAUAGGGGAGCCGGAGGGAAACCGAGUCUUAAC